rnacentral:rRNA from 1 species
GAUGAACGCUGGCGGCGUGCCUAAUACAUGCAAGUCGAGCGAACAGACCAGGAGCUUGCUCCUCUGACGUUAGCGGCGGACGGGUGAGUCACACGUGGUUAACCUACCUAUAAGACUGGGAUAACUUCGGGAAACCGGAGCUAAUACCGGAUAAUAUAUUGACCCGCAUGGUUCAAUAGUGAAAGUCGGUUUUGCUGUCACUUAUAGAUGGAUCCGCGCCGCAUUAGCUAGUUGGUAAGGUAACGGCUUACCAAGGCAGCGAUGCGAAGCCGACCCGAGAGGGUGGUCGGCCAGACUGGAAGUGAGACACGGUCCAGACUCCUACGGGGGGCAGCAGUAGGGAAUCUUCCGCAAUGGACGAAAGCCUGACGGAGCAACGCCGCGUGAGUGAUGAAGGUCUUCGGAUCGUAAAACUCUGUUAGUAGGGAAGAACAAAUGUGUAAGUAACUAUGCACGUCUUGACGGUACCUAAACAGAAAGCCACGGCUAACUACGUG